rnacentral:rRNA from 1 species
CCUACGGGUGGCAGCAGUGAGGAAUAUUGGUCAAUGGGCGCGAGCCUGAACCAGCCAAGUCGCGUGAGGGAAGACGGUCCUAUGGAUUGUAACCCUCUUUUGUCGGGGAGCAAAAGACGCCACGCGUGGCGUUCCGAGAGUACCCGAAGAAAAAGCAUCGGCUAACUCUGUGCCAGCAGCCGCGGUAAUACGGAGGAUGCGAGCGUUAUCCGGAUUUAGUGGGGUUAAAGGGUGCGAAGGCGGAAGCUAAAGCAUGCGGUAAAAUUGAGAGGCUCAACCUCUUCGAGCCGUUGAAACUGGUUUUCUUGAGUGAGCGAGAAGUAUGCGGAAUGCGUGGUGUAGCGGUGAAAUGCAUAGAUAUCACGAAGAACUCCGAUUGCGAAGGCAGCAUACCGGCGCUCAACUGACGCUCAUGCACGAAAGUGUGGGUAUCGAACAGGAUUAGAUACCCGGGUAGUC